rnacentral:rRNA from 1 species
UAGCUUGCUGGAUCUUAGUGGCGAACGGGUGAGUAAUACAUAAAUAAUCUGCCCAUUGGACUGGGAUAACUGUUGGAAACGAUAGCUAAUACCGGAUAGGUGAUUUGAAGGCAUCUUCGAAUCAUUAAAGUAGGGUCACUACACCAAUGGAUGAGUUUAUGGCGCAUUAGUUAGUUGGCGGGGUAACGGCCCACCAAGACGAUGAUGCGUAGCCGACCUGAGAGGGUGACCGGCCACACUGGGACUGAGACACGGCCCAGACUCCUACGGGAGGCAGCAGUAGGGAAUUUUCGGCAAUGGGCGCAAGCCUGACCGAGCAACGCCGCGUGAGUGAUUAAGGCCUUCGGGUUGUAAAGCUCUGUUGUAAGGGAAGAACAUUCAGGAUAGGAAAUGAUCUUGAACUGACGGUACCUUACCAGAAAGCCACGGCUAACUACGUGCCAGCAGCCGCGGUAAUACGUAGGUGGCAAGCGUUAUCCGGAAUUAUUGGGCGUAAAGGGUGCGUAGGCGGUUUAUUAAGUCUAUGGUGAAAGUGCGGGGCUCAACCCCGUAUGGCCAUAGAAACUAGUAGACUUGAGUGCAGGAGAGGGCAAUGGAAUUCCACGUGUAGCGGUAAAAUGCGUAGAUAUGUGGAGGAACACCAGUGGCGAAGGCGGUUGCCUGGCCUGUAACUGACGCUGAGGCACGAAAGCGUGGGGAGCAAAUAGGAUUAGAUACCCUAGUAGUCCACGCUGUAAACGAUGAAUACUAAGUGUUGGAGAAAUUCAGUGCUGCAGUUAACGCAAUAAGUAUUCCGCCUGGGGAGUAUGCACGCAAGUGUGAAACUCAAAGGAAUUGACGGGACCCCGCACAAGCGGUGGAUUAUGUUGUUUAAUUCGACGCUACGCGAAGAACCUUACCAGGCCUUGACAUACUCGGCAAAGCUCUAGAGAUAGAGUGGAGGUUAUCC